rnacentral:rRNA from 1 species
UGCCUCAGUAACGGCGAGUGAAGCGGCAACAGCUCAAAUUUUAAAGCUGGCGUCUUCGGCGUCCGCGUUGUAAUUUGGAGAGGCAUCUUCGGUUUGGGCGCCAGCCUAUGUUCCUUGGAACAGGACGUCACAGAGGGUGAGAAUCCCGUGCUUGCUGGCUGUCCCAUUCCAUGUGAAGUGUCUUCGACGAGUCGAGUUGUUUGGGAAUGCAGCUCAAAAUGGGUGGUAAAUUUCAUCUAAAGCUAAAUAUUGGUGGGAGACCGAUAGCGCACAAGUAGAGUGAUCGAAAGAUGAAAAGCACUUUGAAAAUAGAGUUAAAAAGUACGUGAAAUUGUUGAAAGGGAAGCGCUUGAGACCAGACUCGGCUGGUGAUGAUCAGCUGUCCUUCUGGGCAGUGCACUUGUCGCCGGUCGGGCCAGCAUCGGUUGAGACGGCGGGAUAAAGAUCUCGGGAAUGUGGCUCCUUUCGGGGAGUGUUAUAGCCCGGGGUGCAAUGCCGCCAGCCUCGACCGAGGACCGCGCUUCGGCUAGGAUGCUGGCGUAAUGGUCUUCAGCGACCCGUCUUGAAACACGGACCAAGGAGUCUAACAUCUAUGCGAGUGUUUGGGUGUCAAACCCUUGCGCGAAAUGAAAGUGAACGGAGGUGGGAACCCGCAAGGGUGCACCAUCGACCGGUCCUGAUGUCUUCGGAUGGGAUCUGAGUAGGAGCAUAGCUGUUGGGACCCGAAAGAUGGUGAACUAUGCCUGAUAGGGUGAAGCCAGANGAAACUCUGGUGGAGGCUCGCAGCGGUUCUGACG